CUAAUACCGCAUAGUACAGAAAUGUUAAAGGGCUAGCAAUAGUCGCUUCGAGAUGAGCCUGCGGUCUAUCAGCUUGUUGGUGAGGUAAUCGGCUCACCAAGGCUACGACGGAUAGCCGGUCUGAGAGGAUGAUCGGCCACACUGGCACUGAGACACGGGCCAGACUCCCUACGGGAGGCAGCAGUAAGGAAUAUUGCUCAAUGGGGGGAAACCCUGAAGCAGCAACGCCGCGUGAAGGAUGAAAUACUUUUGUAUGUAAACUUCUGUAAGAUGGGAAAAAUAUUCUCCUCGGGAGAAUUGAUUGUACCAUCAGAGUAAGCCCCGGCUAACUACGUG
rnacentral:rRNA from 1 species